AUAACGACUCUCGGCAACGGAUAUCUCGGCUCUCGCAUCGAUGAAGAACGUAGCGAAAUGCGAUACUUGGUGUGAAUUGCAGAAUCCCGUGAACCAUCGAGUCUUUGAACGCAAGUUGCGCCCUAAGCCAUYUGGCCGAGGGCACGUCUGCCUGGGCGUCAAUC
rnacentral:rRNA from 1 species